UACAUGGUACUGUCGCUAAUAAUGCCAGC
rnacentral:piRNA from 1 species